GACGAACGCUGGCGGCGUGCUUAACACAUGCAAGUCGAACGAUGAUGCUGGAGCUUGCUCCAGUUGAUUAGUGGCGAACGGGUGAGUAACACGUGAGCAAUCUGCCCUUGACUCUGGGAUAACUGCGGGAAACUGUAGCUAAUACCGGAUACUUUCACCGGGGGGCAUCCUCUGGUGAUGAAAGAAUUUCGGUCAAGGAUGAGCUCGCGGCCUAUCAACUUGUUGGUGAGGUAACGGCUCACCAAGGCGACGACGGGUAACCGGCCUGAGAGGGUGACCGGUCACACUGGGACUGAGACACGGCCCAGACUCCUACGGGAGGCAGCAGUGGGGAAUAUUGCACAAUGGGCGCAAGCCUGAUGCAGCAACGCCGCGUGAGGGAUGAGGGCCUUCGGGUUGUAAACCUCUUUUAGCAGGGAAGAAGCGAAAGUGACGGUACCUGCAGAAAAAGCACCGGCUAACUACGUGCCAGCCGCCGCCGUAA
rnacentral:rRNA from 1 species